AGCAACCUUCCUAUAGAGCUGGUUAAUUAGUGACAAGGAAGAGUGUCACCAGGGGCAAAGCUCAUUUCAACUGCUUCCUUUCACGGAAGGCAACAAGGUUCGAGGCACUGAACUUGGACCUUUUCUCUCUGGAAUGGCCAUGACGUUGACUAUUGAAGACUGCUGUAUUCAUCUUGAGUGUUUGGAGCACAAUGAUACAACUGUUCAACCUAUUUGAUAUGGAUUUCUCCUAUUCGGAAGAAAUUUCAACAACUUCACUUCUAACUUAAACACAUUCAUCGACUAGCCUGGCCAACAUGGUGAAACCCCGUGUCUACUAAAAAUACAAAAAUUAGCUGGGCGUGGUGGCAUAUGCCUGUAGUCCCAGCUACUUGGGAGGCUGAGGCAGAAGAAUCACUUGAACCUGGGAGGCAGAGGUUGCAGCAAGCCGAGAUUGUGCCAUUGCACUCCAGCCUGGGCGACAAGAGCAAAACUCCGUCUCAAAAAAUAAAUAAACAAACACAUAUAACACUGUCAAAAUAAGGAGAAACUUUCUUUCCCACAUUGAAAGUCAUUGAUGUUUUCCUUAAAAGCAUUGUAUCAUGUUUGUAUUCUUUAACAAUCAAAAAGAAUCAUUGUCUGCCUUUUUGUUUCUUCUUUUCUAAAUGAAAACAUUUAUAAAAAUAUUUAAGUGGAUAAGUUGCCUAUUGAAAUUGUAAUGUCCCUGAAGUAUUGGUUGAGCUUAAUUUAUUCAUAUAAGUUUCAAGCCAUUCAAAGGCCUAUUUUUCUGGCAGAAAACUAAAGACAGAGCUGUUAUUGUACCAUCUGGUUUGCAUGAGGAAUCUCUUGGCAUCUCUUAACUGCACAUUUUAUAAAUGCUAAAUCCCAGAUGGCAUACAUUGUAACAGUGAAGAGUUUUAUAAAGGCUUCCAAAAACAAAUUCUUUCAAAUUUGAAUACUGGAUAGUCUAAGCAGGGGCUAGGAAUUUAAAUUCUACACUUGAUUAAACUGGCUUUGUUAGCUGAACAAAUUUCCCUUUUUUCUUAUGUCUUUCCUUCUUCCUAAUUAUUGGUUCUGUGACUUGAAAAUUUCAAUCCAUGUAAUUCUUCUACCAACAGGUCCCCUCUAUAACUCAAGUUCUAGAAAAACUGCAGGAACGACAAUCAUUGGAAAAACCUAUGUUAGGUGCCAUUUUGUUUCAAAGAUGGUAGAAUUUACCACAAGGGAGGUGUGUUAUAGCAUCCAUUAGCAGAUCAUCAAAUACCAUCAAAACCGUUCAACUCUUACAAAGCUGAUGGUUGGAUUGGAAAGACAAGCAAAUGUAAACUCCAAGCAUUGUGUUGAAAUAAAGCCAGAGUAGAAUAAUGAUUGAGAACAUGGGGUCUGAAGUCAGAGACUGACAGAUAUUAAGCCCCAGAUUGGAUCUUCCCAUUAAGUUGGGCAAAUUACUUCUCCCUAAGCUUUAGUUUCUUCAUCAGUAAAAUAAAGACAGUACUUUUCUCUUUAAAAGAGAAUCAUUCACAGGGUUGUUGCAAGUAAUUACUGAAUAUUUGUAAAAUACUAAGUACAGUUUAUGGUGUGUAGUCAGCACUUAAUUAAAGUAAAUUAAUAGUAGUACUAGCACUAGGAGAAAGAAAGUUUCUCCUUUCUUUAAGUCAAUCUAUAUAAAUGCAGCAUUUUCUUAAAACUUCUCUUUUCUCUGCAUUUUCCUUCUCAAUAACAACAGCCGAGACCUAGUUUUGUUUUUUUUUUUUUGUCCUACCCCUUAUCAUGGUAUAAUAAAAAUAAUAUAUAUUUUACAGUCACA
rnacentral:lncRNA from 1 species